CUGCGCUUUAAUGUCCGCCCCACUCCCCCCCGGUCUCGACGCUAGUUGGUGGGUAAAAUCCAGUGCACUCAUCGGCGAAGCUCCGGGGAUAAUAGUAUCCGUGUCCGGGGCUAGACUGUUGUCCGGUUCGGUUGCUCUCGUCCUUCUGUUGCCCCUGACGCGUUCAUACUACGUCUCUAUUUCAUGGUAUCUCCUUUUCUUUGUAUCCUUCUGCCGGAUAGGAAAAGGAGACUGAGAACAGAACAGAGGAACGCACAGCUGUAGCGAGAGACUCUCUAACUGACUGCCUGCUCUCCCAUCUCUGCACAGUCUGGCUCCGCCCCUGUAACCUGUCAGAGGCGGGGUCUCUUCAAAGGAAGGCUGGGCUUCGGCUCGAAGGGAGGCGGGGCCGGAAACGCUGCAUGGGAGUGUAGGGAAACCUCACCGACCCCGGAACAAGAACUGCAUUCAAGCGUCUGUGAUAACUGGCAGAGUCUUUCACAUCUUUUUGGCCCUCUCAUCUUUGUAGAAUUGCUCAGACUCAUUGGAGGGUUUUUGAGCAUGAACAGCCUGUUUCAAAUUUUCUGGAGAGCAGAAUUCAUAGUUCCUUCAACUAUGGCAGCCCCAGACCAUCACACUACCAGAACCAUGUUUGACUGAUGGUAUGAUACAGUUUUACAACGGAUUAAAUGGGACUCAGCCUUCCAGAAACUUCAGUUUGUGUCUCAUCUGUCCACAGAGUAUUUUUCCAGAAGUCUUGGGAACCAUCAAGAUGUUUGUUGGCAAACAUCACAAUGGUUCCCCUUGUGUUCUUUCUGGUCAGCGGUGAUUUUCUCCUCGGACCUCUCCCAUGGAUACCAUUUUUGUCCAGUCUCUUUCUUAGUAUUAAAUCUUGAACUCUGACCUUGAAAUCUUAAGGUCUUUAGAUGAUGAAAAUCUUGUGGUUUACGAAGAGAUCAACAGAAAAUGAAGAAGAUGAAGCCACAUGAUGGCUGUAUAAAGGACACAGUCAGUAAAGAUUAAAUGCUUUAACAACACUGGCUGAGAGAACAGCCUACUCAUUUCAUAACUUACAUGCACUAGAAUAGUAAUCAAUUUUACAUAACAGAAACUGAGACAAGUGAGGCCUGCAGGUCUUUAGAUGUUGUUCUGAGUUCUUUUGUGACCUUCUGGAUGAAUUGUUGAUGCGCUCUUGGAGUAAUUUUGGUCAGCCAGACAAUCUUGGAGAGGUUCACCACUGUUCUGAUUUUUCUUUAUUUGUGGAUAAUGGUUCUCACCGUGGUUCACUGGAGACCCAAAGCCUUAAAAAUAGCUUUGUAACAUUUUUCCAAAGUGAUAGAUUUCAAUUAAUUUGUUUCUCAUUUACUUUUUUCUUUUUUUUUAUCAGGGCAUGAUGUGCUAAUUUUUGAGAUCUUUUAGCGUACUUCACUUUAUCUGAUUCUGGUUAAGAGAGUUCUUAAUUUAACAGGUCUGCUAGUAAUCAGGCCUUGAUGUGGUUAGUGAAACUGAACUCAGUUUUCCAAAUAAAGUGUUUAAUCGUUUGGGUCAUCUCUGUUUAAUAUUGUUUGAUGAUCUGAAACAUGCAAAUGUGACAACUUACAGCAGUGUAAUGACUGUUAGAGAUGAUCUUAAAUCUAGACAGAGGAACAGUGAAAAUACACAAGAAGAUUAGAAAGUAUAGGACAUGAAGUAGUAUUAUGCAAACACAUUGAACCUGGGUUUAACGUGUUCCUGAUAUGUGGGGGACGGACUGCCAUAAAUGUAAGACAGUAAAGAUGUACAAUGCUGCCACAUAUGAAAAUGAAGAAGCAGCCCCAUGACAGCUGCAUAAAGGACGCAGUCAGUGAAGAUUACGUGCUUUAAGAACACUGCCCGAGAGAAUACAGCCUACUCAUUUCAUAACUUAAAUAGACUGGAAUGGUAAUCAAUUUUACAUACAAGAAAUUUGCUAAGUCAAUAUUUUGUCAAGCCUGUCUUAUGUAAAUAUUUUAUCAUCCUGUCUUCUUUCGCAUGAGACUAAGUGU